AUGGCUCAGGAUGAACGCUAGCUACAGGCUUAACACAUGCAAGUCGAGGGGCGGCAUCAUCAAAGCUUGCUUUGAUGGAUGGCGACCGGCGCACGGGUGAGUAACACGUAUCCAACCUGCCGACAACACUGGGAUAGCCUUUCGAAAGAAAGAUUAAUACCGGAUGGCAUAGUUUUUCCGCAUGGGAUAAUUAUUAAAGAAUUUCGGUUGUCGAUGGGGAUGCGUUCCAUUAGGCAGUUGGCGGGGUAACGGCCCACCAAACCAACGAUGGAUAGGGGUUCUGAGAGGAAGGUCCCCCACAUUGGAACUGAGACACGGUCCAAACUCCUACGGGAGGCAGCAGUGAGGAAUAUUGGUCAAUGGACGAGAGUCUGAACCAGCCAAGUAGCGUGAAGGAUGACUGCCCUAUGGGUUGUAAACUUCUUUUAUACGGGAAUAAAGUUAGCCACGUGUGGCUUUUUGUAUGUACCGUAUGAAUAAGGAUCGGCUAACUCCGUGCCAGCAGCCGCGGUAAUACGGAGGAUCCGAGCGUUAUCCGGAUUUAUUGGGUUUAAAGGGAGCGUAGGCGGGUUGUUAAGUCAGUUGUGAAAGUUUGCGGCUCAACCGUAAAAUUGCAGUUGAUACUGGCGACCUUGAGUGCAACAGAGGUAGGCGGAAUUCGUGGUGUAGCGGUGAAAUGCUUAGAUAUCACGAAGAACUCCGAUUGCGAAGGCAGCUUACUGGAUUGUAACUGACGCUGAUGCUCGAAAGUGUGGGUAUCAAACAGGAUUAGAUACCCUGGUAGUCCACACAGUAAACGAUGAAUACUCGCUGUUGGCGAUAUACGGUCAGCGGCCAAGCGAAAGCAUUAAGUAUUCCACCUGGGGAGUACGCCGGCAACGGUGAAACUCAAAGGAAUUGACGGGGGCCCGCACAAGCGGAGGAACAUGUGGUUUAAUUCGAUGAUACGCGAGGAACCUUACCCGGGCUUAAAUUGCAACUGACUGAACCGGAAACGGUUCUUUCUUCGGACAGUUGUGAAGGUGCUGCAUGGUUGUCGUCAGCUCGUGCCGUGAGGUGUCGGCUUAAGUGCCAUAACGAGCGCAACCCUUAUCGAUAGUUACUAGCAGGUCAUGCUGAGGACUCUAUUGAGACUGCCGUCGUAAGAUGUGAGGAAGGUGGGGAUGACGUCAAAUCAGCACGGCCCUUACGUCCGGGGCUACACACGUGUUACAAUGGGGGGGUACAGAAGGCAGCUACACGGCGACGUGGUGCUAAUCCCGAAAGCCUCUCUCAGUUCGGAUUGGAGUCUGCAACCCGACUCCAUGAAGCUGGAUUCGCUAGUAAUCGCGCAUCAGCCACGGCGCGGUGAAUACGUUCCCGGGCCUUGUACACACCGCCCGUCAAGCCAUGAAAGCCGGGGGUACCUGAAGUACGUAACCGCGAGGAGCGUCCUAGGGUAAAACUGGUGA
rnacentral:rRNA from 1 species